GACGAACGCUGGCGGCGUGCCUAAUACAUGCAAGUAGAACGCUGAAGGCGGAGCUUGCUUCUCUGGAUGAGUUGCGAACGGGUGAGUAACGCGUAUGUAACCUGCCUGGUAGCGGGGGAUAACUAUUGGAAACGAUAGCUAAUACCGCAUAAUAGUAGAUGUUGCAUAACAUUUGCUUAAAAGUUGCAAUUGCAUCACUACCAGAUGGACCUGCGUUGUAUUAGCUAGUUGGUGGGGUAACGGCUCACCAAGGCGACGAUAGAUAGCCGGCCUGAGAGGGGGGUCGGCCAAACUGGGAAUGAGACACGGCACAGACUCCUGAGGGAGGCAGCAGGAGGGAGUCGGGGGCAAUGGACGAAAGGCGGAACGAGGAAGGCGGCGUGAGGGAAGAAGGAUGUCGGAUCGUAAAGCUCAGUUGUAAGAGAAGAACGAGGGUGAGAGUGGAAAGUUAACACUGUGACGGUAUCUGAACAGAAAGGGACGGCUAACUACGUG
rnacentral:rRNA from 1 species